rnacentral:lncRNA from 1 species
AUGAAUGAAUGAAUAUGUUCUUCAUAUUUAUUCUCCUACAAUUUCAGGAUACUGUUUUUCUAUUAAUAUAACUCUGGCUGGUGGGAGAUAUGAAGAGCCUAGGAAAUGGAAAAGAAAGAAACAUCUGGAACACACAGGCCACAAUGAAAGGACUCCUGGAAAACCACGAGGUGGCCCUCCCAAACACUAAGACCGGAAUGUGGUUUUCCCCGGAAAAGAAGAAUCAUCAGAUGUCUGGAGGUGAGCACUGGUGGGGAAAGUCUUUAGGAGCAAGAAGAAAACCGUGGGCUUUAUCCUUUAGGCCAUGGAGUCAAUGGAGAAUUUUGGACAGAGGAAUAAUGAGAUAGAAGUAGUGG